rnacentral:rRNA from 1 species
GGAGGAAAAGAAAUCGAAGAGAUUCCGUAAGUAGUGGCGAGCGAAAGCGGAUUAGCCCAAACCAGGGAAACUUGUUUCCCUGGGGUUGUGGGACCCCGAUAUGGGACCACAAAGGUGAGCGUAAUGUUCUGGAAAGUUCAACCAGAGACCGUGACAGUCGGGUGCGCGAAGCUGGAGUGGCUCUAGGGGUAUCCCAAGUAAUGCGGAACACGUGAAACUCUGCAUGAAUCUGUCCAGACCACUGGAUAAGGCUAAAUACUACUUGGCAACCGAUAGUGGACUAGUACCGUGAGGGAAAGGUGAAAAGAACCCCUGUUAGGG